AUAAACAGCCUGGGCUCAGAGGUAAUAAAUAAGGUGCCAAGGCCACACCUGUUCGGAGUGGAUGUUGAAGUCUGUGUUACUUCAAUUCUAUCUCCUAUUCCCAGUCCAUUCUGCAGAUGAGAAAACUGAGACCCACACAGUGUACAUGCUGAUCUGAAUGAGAAUGAUGACAAUAACGGGAGGAAAAAAAUGAGCAGAAACUGCUAACAUCUGGAGGCUGCUGUCCAGUUUACGUAAUCUCUUGCCGCAGAGGAGGAACACGGGAUCCCCAGCCAGAUGGUCCAUGGGUGACUUCACAGCACAUGUGCUACCUCCAAGAGUUCUUCAUUCCCAUGGUCCACAUGAAGAAAAUGGACCCCAAAGGAACAAAAGCAACAAAGAUAAAAAUUCCUUCUCCUCCCAUGGGGGUGGGAGGUGAAGAAUGAAGCAAGCAAACACUCAUAGAGAAAUGUG